UGCUUGGAAACACAACUCGCUCCUAGUUUUAGCCAAAGGAUCCAACUGGUUCAACCCCAACACAAAGGACGAAGCGAAAGGUUCUCGACCCAAUCGAACCUAGGGUCAACCCGCGGCCUCCUCCCCAGCUCGCCGCCGCCAAGCCGCCACUACGUACUCCCGUCGCGGCUCCUCCCUCCCUGCAGUGGCGCAGCAGCCCCGCGGCGCGGCUUCUUCCUCCACGUGGCGCGCCUUAUCUCUCCCCGCUCUGUCGCAGUCGUCGUCGCCUUCGCCGUUGACUCACUGCUCGACCGCCACUUCAUGCCCACCUCAACAGCUCUAUUCACAGUUCCAGCCUCCGCAAAGGGCGUCACCGCCACCGCUACGGGUGACUGAGCUGCACCCUUCGCAAUCUCCAUGGGCAGUUAAUCCUCCGCCACCGUCACUGCUGCCACAACUUCCAUGGGUGGCUCGUCUCUCUCCACGACCAUCAACACAGGCAGCCUCCGACAACCCAGAUCGUCAGCCAUGGCCGGGCAGUUGCGGUUCCAGUCUCCUCCUAGUGACGCUGGAGUCGAUGCCGUCGCUAGUGGGGGACACCAAGGCGUUGGUGCUGAUGUUCACGACUAGGACCACUCGUUUCGUAUUGCUGGUGCCGAUGUUCAAAGCAACAAUAAUUUGCUGAAGUGUGGACAGAUGUGCACGAAUGAGCUUCGCAAGCCAUUUGAAGAAGCAUCAGCCUGUUGUGAACAACUUAUGUUGAUGGAUACCUCACAGAAGUUUCAAAGGACCCAAAUAGACUGUUGUACAAUUUUUUUAGUCUACUUGAGACAAUGGCUUUUGUUCCAAAAUUGCUCUGUAAGAGUUGAUCAUUUAUCUGAAAUUUGUAUACAAGGUUAUUUGAAUGAAGAUGGAAACACUAUUUUGUGGGAUGAAGAUGA